rnacentral:rRNA from 1 species
GAUGAACGCUGGCGGCGUGCCUAACACAUGCAAGUCGAACGGGACUAUUUGGAGAUGAUUUCGGUCUGAUCUUUAUAGUUUAGUGGCGGACGGGUGAGUAACGCGUGGACAACCUGCCUUUCACAGGGGGAUAACAGCUGGAAACGGCUGGUAAUACCGCAUACGCUCAGAGCACCGCAUGAUGCUCUGAGGAAAGAUUUAUCGGUGAAAGAUGGAUCCGCGUCUGAUUAGCCAGUUGGCGGGGUAACGGCCCACCAAAGCGACGAUCAGUAGCCGGCCUGAGAGGGCGGACGGCCACAUUGGGACUGAGACACGGCCCAGACUCC